ensembl:lncRNA
CUGGUAACUGAUGAGCACACCUGAUGUCAGUUCCCUUGUAACUGGUAACCUCCCUUUGCCCCUGCUACCAAAGACUGCACGUCUUGCCCUGGUGUCUUUGCUGCUGUCUAUCGACUUGAUGGGGUGUUGCUCCAGGAUCCUGCUUCAGAUAAAUAAGCUCCCCCAUCCAUUAAAACAUUAAUGUCCCUGUUGCUGCCUUAGAGCUCUUUCUUCAGUCUUGAGGCUGGGUGUGGCGCAAGGUCUGAGGACAACUUCUCAGUGAUCCUUGAAACACCUGACACCAGUCAGGACCACACUGACAGCCACAGAGCCAGAUGGUUACCAAAGUCCACUCCUGUGCAGCCAUCUGCAGUCCGCUAGAUCUUCAGUAAAGGAGGCUGUCUUUCAGCAGGAUUUUAGCAGAAAAUGCUAGAAGACAUGGACGGACACACACACAUAUAGAGCAGCUCUGAAGUUAUUAUCAUCUUGGAAGGUAAAUGAGGGAGUAGAUGAAAAGCAAACACAGAACCCAGCCCAGGAGAAGGGAAGGAGACAGAAUGAUAUCCUUAAUUCUACAUGGAAGCAGAGCACACCACAGAUAAUCGAGGUUCAUCUCUCCACAUCAAAAACCUGAAUUCAGUUACAUCUGCAGAGCUCUUUUGCCAUGGAAGUAACAUAUUCAGAAGUUCUGGAGAUGAGGUUGUGGAUAUCUUGCUGGGCCCCUGGCAACCACCCUCCCAUUUUCUAUUUUGAUGAAUUUGACUGCUCUAGAUAACGCACAUUAAUGAAAUAAUUCAGAAUAUGUCUUUUUGUGACUGGUUUGUUUUACUUAGCAUAAUGUCCUCGAGGUUCAUCCAUUCUGUGGCAUGUGUCAGAAUUUCUUUCCUUCUUAAGGCUGAAUAAUGUUCUAUUAUAUGUAUAUAUCAUGUUUUGUUUACUGGUUCAUCUGUUGAUGCACAUUUGAGUUGCUUCCUCCUCUUGGCUUUGUCAAUAAUGCUAUGAACAUGAAUGUAUCAAUAUCUUUUCAAAACCCUGCUUUCGACUCUUUAGAUAUAUAUCCAGAAUCGAAAUUGCCGGAUCAUAUAGUCAUUCUAUUUUUAAUCUUUUGAGAAACUGCCAUACUGUUGUCUAUAGUAGCUGCACCAUUUUGCAUUCCCACCAACAGGGCACAAGGGUUUUCAUUUCUCCACAUCCUUUCCAACACUUGCUAAUUUUUGGUUUACUUGUAGUAGCCAUCCUAAUGUGUAUGAGGUGAUAUUGUGGUUUUGAUUUUGCAUCUUCCUAAUUAUUAGUGACAUUGAGCAUCUUUUCAUAUGCUUAUUGACCAAAGGAUACAUUUUUAAUUUAAUUUUUUGUUUUAGUGUCUGCCAUCUUCCAGAUGGACUAAAACAGAACCAACA